CACUUCCUACGGAGGGCAGCAGUGAGGAAUAUUGGUCAAUGGCCGAGAGCCUGAACCAGCCAAGUCGCGUGAGGGAAGAAGGCCCUGCGGGUCGCAGACCUCUUUGGACGGGGAGCAAGGCCGCCGACGUGUCGGCGGAAGGAGAGUACCCGUAGAACAAGCAUCGGCAAACUCCGUGCCAGCAGCCGCGGUAAUACGGAGGAUGCGAGCGUUAUCCGGAUUUAUUGGGUUUAAAGGG
rnacentral:rRNA from 1 species